AACACUUUUAUUUCGCACCACAAAGCCAUUAACAUAAACUAGUGAAGAAAUUAGACAUCAUGUCUGAUCGCACUGUUAAAUAUAUUUAAAUAUAUUUUGAAAACACUUGAUGGUCACGCGCUGUACUGGAGUCACCAUGGAAACGGGGCUCAGCUCAACCGUCAAGCAGCUGAACAGACGCUGUCUCUCAUGGUUGUUUUCACUAAUUUCAGUUUAUAGAAAUGGUCAGUGUCUUCAUGAAAAGUCCGUUAGCAUCUCAACUGUAAUGCUAACUACAAGAGAUUCUUCCAUGCUGAUGGCCGUGCCUGUAUCCAGCUGAAGAACAUUUUUAGACAUUAUGAAACAUAUAACUAAGACUGAAAAUCAUUGAUAAACCACAAGCUCCAACCCCAGUUAAGCAGACCUGAGCAGCCGAUCAAGGAUCAGCAGAAACUCUGCAGAACGGUGGUCCUCCAGCCCAGGACUGGACACCAGUGUUAUGCUGCAGAAAAAAGAGCGAGGCUAAAGCAUUCAAAGUGGAAACAUCUGCCGUGGCUCAUUAAUCCAGAAUUGGGAUGGAGGAAGAAGCAGAAGAUCAGAGAUCAGGCAGAGAUCUACUGGUGCCCCUGUGGGAACCCCAUUUACCUAAUGUGUUAGUUUAACCAAAGAUUUUCCUCACUCACCUUUAUGUUGUUCCAAACCAGACUUUUGUUCAUCCUUGAAACAUAAAUGCGGAACUUUUUAAUGAAAUCUGAGAUUAUUUUCUUUAUAUAAAAUAACACAUUCACACAAGCACCAUGAUGCAUCAGUGUUGCAUUGGCGUGAGAGCUGGCGCUUUUGGUGCUUUUGUGAAAAUCCAUUGGGGAGUCAUAAUUUCUGAAUAGAUUAUUUUUGCUGUUGUUAUUGUUUGUUUGUUUUUUUUAGUACACAAGGCAUCUGUUAAAAAAAUAUCUUAAUUUGUGUUCUGCACAAAAGGGUGUUAUGGGUUUGGGGCAACAUGAGGGUAAGUAAUUAAUGACAGAAUUAAAAUUUUUGGUUGUUCUAAUGUGGUUAUAAUUGGUCAUAGUUUAUUUGUCUUGAAAAAAUAUAUUUAUACAGAAACAUGGAUUAAUUUGAUAAGUUUAUAGUAAAGCCUUUUAAAUUGAUAAAAAAAAAAAA